CCCUCGUCUCUGUCUCUCUCUCUCUCUGUGCAAAUUGUAGGGUUUUAAUCUGUGUAGAAACGAGAGCAAGCUCUAAGGGUUUUCAUAUUUCAAAAAACCCUAGCUUGGUUCCGAUUCUAUGCUGGUUACAAGAUUUCCUUGUGACAAAUUUGCAUCUUGCUCCUUCAUUGUCCAUUUGUCAUACCAGAUAAGCAGGAGCCACCAUAAUAUAGGUUUAAUUAUGACAUGAUGUGUGACGCAUGUCACGGCUGGUGCCAUGACUCGUGCCACGGCCCAUGCUAUGAUGCAUGAUGCAUGCCACAGCCGGACACGUGCCUCUGGGGGGCAGAGGCCCCUAUUGAGAGUCAGCAACCAGGCAACAGGCAAAGAAAGAAACUUAUGUACAUGGAAUUUUUCAGAACUGAGAAACUAUCACAGCCAGAAUUUUUUAGAGCCAAGAUAUAAAGAGCUUACUUCCAAUAGUCAAUUUUGUAGUCAUUCCUCUAGGAAAGUUCCAGUCUGUUUUGAUCAUUCUCCCAAUUUGUUAUCUGGUGAGACUUAUUCUGUUCUUCAAUCAAGUGGUUUUCAGCACUGGUUCAAGAACUGGCAAGAACAGAGAAAGCAUAAACUGACUGCAAGCACUUUUGGUGGGGCUGUUGGUUUUUGGCCUCGCCGAAGAGUCCAGCUCUGGUUAGAAAAGUUGGGGGCAACUAAGCCAUUCAGCGGAAACCUAGCUACUUGUUGGAGUAACAUUAAAGAAGAGGAAGCACUUGAAAGGUACAAGCUGAUAACAGGAAAUACUGUCCUGUUUCCUGAAUUUCAGGUCUAUGGUAAGAAAGAUCCAGAGGACAAUUGGCUUGCAGCUUCACCAGAUGGGAUAGUUGACAGUCUUGUCUAUGGAUUGCAUUCCAGAGGAGUGCUGGAGAUAAAGUGCCCUUUUUUUAAUGGAGAUAAGAGCAUAGCUUCACCUUGGUCUCGAGUUCCCCUUUAUUAUAUUCCCCAAGCUCAAGGUUUAAUGGAGAUAAUGGAUCGGGAUUGGAUGGAUUUCUAUGUUUGGACCCUUAAUGGAAGCAGUUUAUUCCGCUUAUACCGGGAUGCAGAAUAUUGGGAUGUUCUCAAAAUAGCAUUAUCUGACUUCUGGUUUAAGCAUGUGCUGCCAGCCAGAGAGUUGUGCCGUAAACAUGCGAUCAAUAGUCCUCUCACUGAAUUGCGAUCACUCAAGCCAGAACCGAGACAUGAAUUAUGUAGAUACAUAGUUUAUGAAAGUAAACGCAUUGUUGAUGACUCCAAAUUAUUGAUGCGAGAAAUUCAUGGGAAACUGCAAAAUUGAUGCAUAAAUGAUAUUUCAUUGGGUUUGGUUUGAUUAAAAGGGGAUAUCCAGAAUUCAGAUUGGAGGAGACUGUAGAGGAGAAAUCCAGUGGACCAAUUUUGGGCUUUUAAUUGGUGCAGUCUGAAGCUUGGAAUUGGUACCCAAGUAAUUGAGUAUCAUUGUUGUGUAAGUAAAAAUAAAUCAUUGGAGCUGUUGUUUGACUGAGUUAUAAAGACGAUAUAUUGCCAGAGAAAAAACAAAAUCCUGAUGCUGCAGGAAAGAGUGGAGAAAUACUCUCCAUAUGGGUUAAAAGAGGAUGGAUUGACUUCGCCCUCUAUAGUUUCUCCAAUUUAUGCAACAGCUUCUCCUUCCCAAUAGAACUGAUAACACACAAGGAAGCCUUAAAUCUAUGAUCUUCAUCAUUGGCAGGACUCCAGGAGAUGAGUUUUUGAUAAAUGUCUGGAGUACUAAUGUGGAUUUAAGUGGGAAAUUUUAACUGGAUGUGGGAACACACUUGGAACAAUCUGUGGAUGCCCUUAUUAUCAAAUGUACUGUCAUAUCAUUUAUUUUCAGUUGAGCUAAGUUUGAACCUUUGGGAUGCUUGUGCAAUGUGAUGCAGUAUGAGCUCAAAUUUCUCCAUCAAGCCUUGACCUUGCAGUUACUCAAACACUGGACUCAGAUGAAACUGGAAGGACAUGUUGUAUGUACAAAGUCUACCUAGAAACUCUUGUUAAUUCUUCUGACUCCAGGGAAGUGGGAACACACUUGGAACAAUCUGUGGAUGCCCUUAUUAUCAAAUGUACUGUCAUUUUGUUUAUUUUCAGUUGAGAUAAGUUGAAACCUUUGGGAUGCCUGUGCAAUGUGAUGCCAUAUGAGCUCAAAUUUCUCCAUCAAGCCCUGACCUUGCAGUUACUCGAAUGCUGGACUCAGAUGAAACUGGGAGGACAGGUUGUAUGUACGAAGUCUACCUAGAGUCACAUCCAUUGGGCUGAUAAUUUCUUAUUUAUCUUCACCAGAUCAGUUGAUUAAGAGGGGGUGGAGUCAUGACAAGUUAGUGUUGCUUGGCAAAGUGAUGAAGAGACAGAAAAUCAGCUACUAAUACGUUGUGAGGUAGGCUGUGGGAUUUGUUGGUUUCUGAUUCUUGCUUUGGAGUUGUUGGGUGAUGCCUAGCUCAGCAAGUGAACUACUCAUAGCAUAGUCUGGUAUUUACAAAGAGGUGGAGUGGACCUUUGAGGGGGCAAACCCUUUGGGGCCUUUUUUGUUCCAAUUUUUUUUUUUUUUUUUUUUUUGAGAAAAAUCAGAUUCAAUUUUUGUUUUUGUUUUUGUAAUUAUUUUCACUUUAUUUCAGUAUGAAAAUAUUUUUCAGAUUUUAUGAAUUUCCAAACCAUAAGGAACAUGCUCCACUCAAGUUCAAAAAAAUCCCAUUCGGAUUGAACCAAUCAUGUUCUUCCACGUGGAUACCACUUCCAUUUCCACCAUACCUUAAUGCUAAUAUAUAUAAAAAAUAAAAUAAAAUAAUAAUAACAAAUUGAAAGAUGUCCAGUGAGCACACAAGAAAUCUGUGCUCCUACGAACAGAGAAUGUGUAGGAACUAAGAACGAAGGGAACUUUGUGUUUGGCAAGAGAGAAACUGAGGAAAGUGAGAGAAAGAAAGUAGAGAGCUGUGUAAUUUCUAGAGAGAGAGAGGAGAGCUGUGUGAUUAGAAGAUGGUUUAUACUGGUCGAAUUUUGGCGGUUUCGUACUCUCCAACGACGUCUUAUCGGUACUCAAACUCCAGAUUUCAUCAAGGAAAGCUCAAAUCGGAUCUGAAAUGGCGAGCCAUGGUGUCUGGGCCGGAGGCUUCUGCUUUUGCACCUUCGGUCGAUUCCGAAUCUGCUGAUAAAAACGACACUGGGUAUUUCCAACUUGAAUUUUUUUUCCUCUCUAUCUCUUUCUAUAUAUAUGUUCUGUCCUCUAUUGGAAGAAAAAGAAGAAUUGGGAAGUGAAAGAGGAGAUAUUUUGGUUCCAAGAACAUUGGCUUUGGCAGAAGAACAACUCAGGACUUGUUUGGCGGUGUUCCUUUGAGAAGAUGAAAACCACUGAAUAUGUUUAUUUUUAGAUUGCUUUCAAUUGUUUAAGUGCUUGAAUUUUUUAGGAUGUGAAAAACUAUGAAAACAAACCAUUUAUCAAAUAAGUUUUCUAUGUUAUUUCAA